ACGAACGCUGGCGGCGUGCUUAACACAUGGCAAGUGGAGCGACGAACCGGGGCUUGCCCCGGGGCAGAGCCGCGAACGGGUGAGUAACACGUGGGUAACCUGCCUCAAUGAUUGGGACAACCCGGGGAAACUCGGGCUAAUACCAAAUGUGUUCACUCCUUCUAAGGGGAGUGAGGAAAGGAAGCUUCGGCCUCCGCAUUGAGAUGGGCCCGCGGCCCAUUAGCUUGUUGGUGAGGUAACGGCUCACCAAGGCUUCGAUGGGUAGCUGGUCUGAGAGGACGAUCAGCCACACUGGGACUUGAGACACGGCCCAGACUCCUACGGGAGGCAGCAGUGGGGAAUCUUGCACAAUGCGCGAAAGCGUGAUGCAGCAACGCCGCGUGGGGGAAGACGGCCUUCGGGUUGUAAACCCCUUUCAGUUGGGACGAAGCUUCGUCGGUGAAUAGCCGGUUGGAGUGACGGUACCUUCAGAAGAAGCCCCGGCUAACUACGUG
rnacentral:rRNA from 1 species